rnacentral:rRNA from 1 species
AACCUGGUUGAUCCUGCCAGNAGUCAUAUGCUUGUCUCAAAGACUAAGCCAUGCAUGUCUAAGUAUAAGUAUUAUACAGCGAAACUGCGAAUGGCUCAUUAAAACAGUUAUAGUUUAUUUGAUAAUCGAAUUUACAUGGAUAACCGUGGUAAUUCUAGAGCUAAUACAUGCUGGUGUGCCCAACUUUUUGGAAGGGCGGUAUUUAUUAGAUAACAAGCCAAUAUUCCUCUGGUCUAUUGUGGUGACUCAUAAUAACUGAUCGAAUCGCAAGGCCUAUGGCCGCGAUAAGUCAUUCAAGUUUCUGCCCCAUCAGCUUUCGAUGGUAGUGUAUUGGACUACCAUGGCGUUUACGGGUAACGGAGGAUUAGGGUUCGAUUCCGGAGAGGGAGCCUGAGAAACGGCUACCACAUCUAAGGAAGGCAGCAGGCGCGUAAAUUACCCAAUCCUGACUCAGGGAGGUAGUGACAAGAAAUAACGGAC